AUUGAACGCUGGCGGCAUGCCUUACACAUGCAAGUCGAACGGCAGCACGGGUGCUUGCACCUGGUGGCGAGUGGCGAACGGGUGAGUAAUACAUCGGAACAUGUCCUGAAGUGGGGGAUAGCCCGGCGAAAGCCGGAUUAAUACCGCAUACGAUCCACGGAUGAAAGCGGGGGACCUUCGGGCCUCGCGCUAUAGGGUUGGCCGAUGGCUGAUUAGCUAGUUGGUGGGGUAAAGGCCUACCAAGGCGACGAUCAGUAGCUGGUCUGAGAGGACGACCAGCCACACUGGGACUGAGACACGGCCCAGACUCCUACGGGAGGCAGCAGUGGGGAAUUUUGGACAAUGGGCGAAAGCCUGAUCCAGCAAUGCCGCGUGUGUGAAGAAGGACUUCGGGUUGUAAAGCACUUUUGUCCGGAAAGAAAUCCUUGACUCUAAUACAGUCGGGGGAUGACGGUACCGGAAGAAUAAGCACCGGCUAACUACGUG
rnacentral:rRNA from 1 species